UCUAUCAGAUUUCAGAUAUAUAUAUACAGUAGACUCCGGCAAAUCGAAUACCCAAAAUGUCAGCUAAAAAUAUCCGAUUACCCGAUAUAUUCAAUUAGACGAUGAAUGUAUAUUCAUUGAAUAUUCUUCAAUAAUGAGUAGAUGUAAUCCCGAGAUGUUAUUAACCCUGACAAUUGCUAAAUAUGUGAAAGGGCUGGAGGAUUGAUGGAGUGAUUUUUAUCAGUUACAUCACCACGAUGUUUGUGUAAAAAAUAAUCAGCUGAUUAUGUAAUGAUUAAAUUUAUUUGCAGUUUUUAAAUCCUUUAUUUAUUAAAAUAAAUCAAAUGUCCUGAAAUAUUUAUGUGAAUUAUUAUCUACCAUCCAUAGUUUGUCUUUAUUUGUUUUGUUAGCAAAUUAAUAUCCAUUAUUUACAUUAUCACACAGUGUGACAUGUGAUAAAACUAAUUUGGCUAUAAAUAGAUCUAAGCAUGUCUGUGUAGAAUCUCCAAACUAAAAUCGUAUUUGUUAUAAUAUUAUUUCUUUAAAUAAUCAAAUUUAAAUUUAUGAAAAUAAUCAUGAUUGAUAAAAUAUUAUUGCAUAAAGUUUACGUUUUCUGAAGACUAUUUAUAUUUAGGUCAUAGUUCUAGAGGCUUCCUCACAAAUUUGUAAACAUCCAAAAUGGCGUCCAUGACAUGUGGUUACUUUUGCACAUGUGAAAAAAAUAUAUCUGACAAAAGUCAGAUUUCUCUUGUCAAAAGGGAUUUAUAUUUAUAUUGCAAUAAAUUAUUCAGAAGGAGGUUAAUUCAGUGUAGAUUAUAUUUCUGAUUCUGUGAACGUUUAGAGUUUAAUCAAAAUUCUCCAAACAGCAACGUCAACUUGUCAACUGAGUCUUGCAUAUUUUAUAAAUAAAUUCAAACCAUUUGAAGUAAAAGGGCAUCUAAUUCACAUGACAAAGGAAGACAAUGAUUAAGGAAUUGUUCCUUUUAUUUAGUAAAAACAAAAUCUUCUUGUCUGCAAGAUUGUAAAUUUGUAACUUCCGGGUCCAUUUCCUGUCAGAAAAACAUUGAAAAUAUCCGAUUGUGCAUGGUUUUGAACAAAAUGACCUGAAUAUUCUUAUCCGAUUUGCCGAUAUAUUCUUAUAUCCGAUAUUCGAUUACACGAUAAAAUUAACAUUAAACAUAUAGGGAAGGGUUUGGUGUUUUGAAAUAAUAUUACAAUAGCCUAUAUAUUCGUUUAGCGGAUAUCCGAUUAGGUGGAGUCUACUGUACAAUAGAAUUUAUUUAUUCACAUGACCAUUGGAGGUACAGAGAGUAUGCAAAAUAUGUACACGAAUAUGCAUCUAUUUACAAAACAUAUAUACAAUACAAAAUAAUAUACAUUUUAGCCAGGAGGACUCAGAUGUUUAAUUAUACACUUUAUAAACUUACAAUUAAAUGUUAUUUACAUGAAGCAAGUGACUAUUAAAUAUAAAAUAUUUAUUGAAGCAAAUUGUAAUUUGUUUCUUCUAAUUUUGAAAAGAGAUCAAAGAAAGAGUUAUGUAUUUUUAUUACACCAUGAAUAGAAUUUUACAUAAAUGAGUUUGAUUCUUUUUUUUUCAAGAAUUUGAAUGAUUGUUUUCUCAUUUUGUAUUUUCUAUAUCUUUUAAAUUAUAUACUUCCAACUUCUAUAUUAUUUAUUUUAUUAAAGAAAUUCCUUAUGCAGUCCGCGGAAAUUAUUUAUUUUAUUAAAGAAAAUUUAAAACUACAAAGGUAUCCUGCACAAGGCACGGGCAUACCUUAUGCAGUCGGCGAAAAUUAUUUAUUUUAUCAAAGAAAAUUUAAAACUACAAAGGUACCCUGCACAAGGCACGGGCAUACCUUAUGCAGUCCGCGAAAAUUAUUUAUUUUAUCAAAGAAAAUUUAAAACUACAAAGGUACCCUGCACAAGGCACGGGCAUACCUUAUGCAGUCCGCGAAAAUUAUUUAUUUUAUCUAAGAAAAUUGAAAACUACAAAGGUACCCUGCACAAGGCACGGGCAUACCUUAUGCAGUCAGCGAAAAUUAUUUAUUUUAUUAAAAAAAAUUUAAUACUACAAAGGUAUCCUGCACAAAACUAACUGAUGCAUUCAGCGGAAACAUUAAAGUUAUUCUAUUCCCAAAAGUUAUUUUUCAGAUUAGGAAACAAAAUCAGUAAGCAAAUGGUAAGGAUAUGAUAUUUGACAAUACAGAUAUAUAUUGAAAUGAAGUUUAUUCAUUGUUCUUAUGUCUCUGGAUGGGUUUUUGUUUUUUUGAAAGAUGUUGUUCUUUCAUUUAUCUUUCUUUUUCUUUGUCCUAUUUUUUUCCCAAGGGAUCUUGGUUUGAUUACUGUCAUUUUGCCAUCGCUGGAAAUUGACACUUUGUUGUCUUUAGGGACGAAUCUCCUAAAUCUUUUAAACAGUCUGUUUCUCUCCUUGCUGGUUUUAUUUAUCCAAAUGUUUGUGGGUAGCCGCCAAUCUAUACUGCCCCGUGCUGACAAUAGAUCGGAGAAGGUCCUUGUAUUGAGUCCUGAUGGCAUCCUCAAUGAUUUGUACCAAGUCCAAGAGAGGUUUGGAUUCCCAUGCAAUGGACCUUUUGAGCACAUGGUUUAAAGACUCACUGUUGUUGUUAGUCCAUGGCUUAUCGAAGUGGCCUUCAGGGAGAUCGGUCUCCCAUAGCUGAUGGAUAUUCUUUUUCAGGCGGUUUUCAAAAUAUCUAUGAAAGCUAUUUGUUGAUUCCAUGGACUGCUUACUUAUCUCCUCACUUUUGGCUUCAAAACAAAUUAUAUCAUCAGCAGUUAAAAGGCCAGAUGUCCCAAAGAUGGAGUCCAAAAUGACAUCUCGGUCUUUCUUAUUGACAGCGUCGUCUAUAAAUUUCUGUUUGGCAUUUUGUCGUAAGUGGCGCGUACAUAAAAUUUGUCCAGAGUGAGGAAAUGCUUCUUUAACUGCGUUUAUCAAACCUAUUUCCUCAACAGUACCAAAGACCAGUUGUGAAGUAUCAAUACCGCGGAAUUUAUCUUUUAGAUGAUUGAAGAAAUUGACGAAGCAUUCAAAGUCACUAUUGUUGUGUAUAAAUACGGGUCCGAGAAAAAUGGGGGGUUCUGAAGUUGUUUCCAUAUUUUCUGCAAAUAUGUAAUUUAUGCUGUAAAUACGUUUUUGUUUUAUUUACUGUAUUAUUUAUUAAUAUCGUUUAAUGAUUAUUUGUAUAAUUCAUAUUAUGACAUCGUAUUAUAUAUAUAAUUAUGUAUUAAUUGAAGAAAAAUGAUUGCAUUGUGUAGAGUUGUUUACUGUUUAUCUACUGCAUUAUUAUAAAUUUGUUUAUUUGUCAUUGCUUGAACCACAUGUGUGUACUUUUGUAAUACAGACUGUAAAUAAUAGGAUUAAAAUGUACUGAUAUCAUUAAGGGACAUCAAU